rnacentral:rRNA from 1 species
AUUGAACGCUGGCGACAGGCCUAACACAUGCAAGUCGAGCGAGCGGCGGACGGGUGAGUAAUGUCUGGGAAACCGCCUGUUGGAGGGGGAUAACUACUGGAAACGGUAGCUAAUACCGCAUUCCAUCCGCUGUGCCCAGAGGGUGUUAGCUGGUGGGUGGGGUAACGGCCCACCAAGGCGACGAUCCCUAGCUGGUCUGAGAGGAUGAUCAGCCACACUGGAACUGAGACACGGUCCAGACUCCUACGGGAGGCAGCAGUGGGGAAUAUUGCACAAUGGGCGAAAGCCUGAUGCAGCCAGGCCGCGUGUGUGAAGAAGGCCUUCGGGUUGUAAAGCACUUUCAGCGGGGAGGCGUUACCCGCAGAAGAAGCACCGGCUAACUCCGUGCCAGCAGCCGCGGUAAUAC